rnacentral:rRNA from 1 species
GAUAAACGCUAGCGGCAGGCCUGACACAUGCAAGUCGAGGGGCAGCGGGAGUAGCAAUACUUGCCGGCGACCGGCGGACGGGUGAGUAACGCGUAUGCAACCGGCCGUACGAAGGGGGAUAACCCGGAGAAAUUCGGACUAAUACCGCGUAAAGAUGUAGAUAGGCAUCUAUUAACAUCCAGAGUGGCGACACGACGUACGACGGGCAUGCGUAUCAUUAGUUAGUUGGUGGGGUAACGGCUCACCAAGGCAACGAUGAUUAGGGGUUCCGAGAGGACAAACCCCCACACCGGGACUGAGACACGGCCCGGACUCCUACGGGAGGCAGCAGUGAGGAAUAUUGGUCAAUGGACGGAAGUCCGAACCAGCCAUGCCGCGUGCGGGAAGAAGGCCCUACGGGUCUUAAACCGCUUUUGUAAGGGAGCAAUAAGUUUCAUGCGUGGGACGACGAGAGUACCUUACGAAUAAGCAUCGGCUAACUCCGUGCCAGCAGCCGCGGUAAUACGGAGGAUGCGAGCGUUAUCCGGAUUCAUUGGGUUUAAAGGGUGCGCAGGCGGACUUACAAGUCGGCGGUGAAAUAUUCGGGCUUAACCCGGGGACUGCCGUCGAAACUGUGAGACUAGAAUAUGGAUGAAGUUGGGGGAAUGCGCGGUGUAGCGGUGAAAUGCAUAGAUAUCGCGCGGAAGGCCGAUUGCGAAGGCACCUGACUAAUCCAGCAUUGACGCUGAGGCACGAAAGCGCGGGGAUCGAACAGGAUUAGAUACCCUGGUAGUCCGCGCCGUAAACGAUGAUGACUCGCCGUCGGGGUUUAAAACUUCGGUGGCUAAGCGAAAGCGAUAAGUCAUCCACCUGGGGAGUACGGCCGCAAGGCUGAAACUCAAAGGAAUUGACGGGGGCCCGCACAAGCGGAGGAACAUGUGGUUUAAUUCGAUGAUACGCGAGGAACCUUACCCGGGCUCGAACGGCUUGCGAAGAUAUGGGAAACUGUAUUGUCUGCAAAGACGCAAGUCGAGGUGCUGCAUGGUUGUCGUCAGCUCGUGCCGUGAGGUGUCGGCUCAAGUGCCAUAACGAGCGCAACCCCUGUCGUCGGUUGCCAGCGGGUAAAGCCGGGGACUUCGACGAGACUGCCGGCGCAAGCUGCGAGGAAGGGGGGGAUGACGUCAAAUCAGCACGGCCCUUACGUCCGGGGCGACACACGUGUUACAAUGGGUGGUACAGCGGGUAGCGAGGCAGCGAUGCUGAGCCAAUCCUAAAAGCCACUCCCGGUUCGGAUCGGAGUCUGCAACUCGACUCCGUGAAGCCGGAUUCGCUAGUAAUCGCGCAUCAGCCAUGGCGCGGUGAAUACGUUCCCGGGCC